rnacentral:rRNA from 1 species
GCCUACGGGAGGCAGCAGUGGGGAAUAUUGCACAAUGGGGGGAACCCUGAUGCAGCAAUGCCGCGUGGGUGAAGAAGCACUCCGGUGCGUAAAGCCCUGUCAGCAGGGAAGAAAAUGACAGUACCUGGACAAGAAGCCCCGGCUAACUACGUGCCAGCAGCCGCGGUAAUACGUAGGGGGCAAGCGUUAUCCGGAUUCAUUGGGCGUAAAGCGCGCGCAGGCGGACCGUUAAGCGGGACCUCUAAUCCUGGGGCUCAACCUCAGGCCGGGUCCCGAACUGGCGGUCUCGAGUGCGGUAGGGGGGG